AUGGCAGGCAAGGGCGCCAAGGCGACGGCCGCAAAGGCGGCGGAGAAGGAAAAGGGGAAGAAGGCCCCCGGCUCCCGCUCCUCCCGUGCCUGUUCCCAGGAGGAGCCAGUUCCAAAGAAAGAUGUGUAUCAAUUGUUUGCUGAGAAGGUUCGGGAUAACAAGCAGCUGGAAUCGAGAUGGGCUGUCAUGCAAGAAACUCGCGUUGAGUAUUUUCGUGGAAAAGAUUUUACUACCUUCAUCAAGAAUCAUCCAGAAGUUGGGGAAAUUUUAGGGCCGGAUAAAGAUAUGGAAGCUGAAGAUAUUGUCAACACUUUGCUUACCAAGAACCUCGUAAUAAGGUGUGACCGAGUUUGGAAAACUGUGAGACCAGGAAAGAAAAAGUUAUCAUCCUGGCCUGCUCAUUUGGAGAUACAUCAGGAACAAGUAUUCACUGAAAAUGAUGGUUUUUACGCUUGGAUGUUUCUCAAAAGACGGACCUUGUGGCAGACGAUUCUUUCAUUUAUCUGGCCUGUCUUUGCGUUGGCAGUCUGCUUAUUUCCAGUUUACCCAUACCAAUGCAAGAUUGUGGUACUGUACUCUUGCGCUGGAGCUUUACUGUUCAUUGUAUCCCUGCUUUUAUUAAGAGCUGCCAUCUUUGGCGUACUAUGGGUUCUUCUUGGAAAACGGGUGUGGUUCUUCCCCAAUAUAAAUGCAGAGGAGACCACAUUUAGAGAACUCGUUCGGUUUUGGCCUGUGAAGGAUGAGGGAGAGCGACCAAAGUGGACGUCAAGACUUAUCUAUGCUACUGUUGCCUUAUUGGUGAUAUUGCUGCUUAGACAUCACGCUCCAGAUGAAGCAGCUAGAGCGAGGUACCAAAAGAAGGUUUCUAAUAUAAUUGAUGAUGUCCUUGAGUGGUCUCCGAAGUUGGCUCUGUCUGGGAUGAUGGAUAAACAUACUGAGGAUAAUGCGACAGAAACUAGCAAUUACACCAGCCAUGCCACAACGAGUACUGAAGAAUCUACAGAUGCAGCCGAGGAUGAGGAUGCAGAUGAAACCCAAGGUGCUGCUGAUGAUACGAGAACAAGAUCUAGUGAAGUUUAA
rnacentral:rRNA from 1 species